AUUUUGUGCAACAGUAGCCAAGCUGAAGGGCUGAACAGAGACUAAAAUAUUUACUGUUUGGUCCUUUACAGAAAGCCUUUGCUGAUUCCUGUUCUAAAGAGAAGCCUGAACCUUGGGAAUGCACCAUGCCACAGGUAUCUGUUGCUGCGUUUUGCAGAAGGACCGACAGCUUUGGGCUGAGAUAUAAGCCCCGCAGGGACAGCGCUGAGCAGAGGAGGCCACAGCCCGACCUGCAGCAGCCCAGCCCCUGGGACUCCACUCGCCUUCUACCUGCUCAUCUCCGCUCCAGGAGCUCUCGCCGUGAGUGCCGGGGAAUAGCCUGGUACCGGGGGGAGCCCUGGCGAUUUUGUGGGGAAACUGAGGCUGGGAUGGUGAAAGCUGGGGCUGAGCGGCCAGCAUAGCCCUCUGCCUCCAGCAACGGUUCUGGGCAGUACGAGUGGGGGUUGGGGAGGCGGACAGGGCUUAUGCCCUCUCUGACAGAUGGGGAAACUGAGGCAGAGACGGUGCAGGGCCAGAGAACACACAGCGGGCCGCCGCUGGGCCCUGAUCCGGUAGCAGCCUUGCACAGGCCUGGGAGCGUGGGCCCGAGGGCAGCCUCAGCCUCCCGCCGUCG
rnacentral:lncRNA from 12 species